GACGAACGCUGGCGGCGUGCUUAACACAUGCAAGUCGAACGGAAAGGCCCUGCUUUUGUGGGGUGCUCGAGUGGCGAACGGGUGAGUAACACGUGAGUAACCUGCCCUUGACUUUGGGAUAACUUCAGGAAACUGUGGCUAAUACCGGAUAGGAGCUCCUGCUGCAUGGUGUUGGUUGGAAAGUUUCGGUGGUUGGGGUUGGACGCGCGGCUUAUUAGCUUGUUGGUGGGGUAGUGGUUUCGCAUGGCUUUGACGGGUAGCCGGCCUGAGAGGGUGACCGGCCACAUUGGGACUGAGAUACGGCCAAGACUCCUACGGGAGGCAGCAGUGGGGAAUAGUGCACGAUGGGCGGAAGCCUGAUGCAGCAACGCCGCGUGCGGGAUGACGGCCUUCGGGUUGUAACCCGCUUUCGCCUGUGACGAAGCGUGAGUGACGGUAACUUGUAAAGAAGCACCGGCUAACUACGUG
rnacentral:rRNA from 1 species